CACCUCUCUCCCUCAGAAAAUAAACAUCAGAAAAAUUCUUUCCAUUCUCUAGUCUUCAGAAGCUCUGCGUCUCAACCAAGGAGGAGAAUAAGUCAUGCAAUACAUCAAGAUCCUAUCCGUCAUCCACCCUUGUGUCGUCUCUAGAAGAUUGCUUGCUUUCAAUGAUCUUCAAGUUCUUCAUCUCAAGGCUUUGUCAUCCAUCUUUCACGGUGUGCCCUCAAUCCCCGGCUAGAACGAUCCCUACUUAUUCUAUACUGACAACUACAUUUUGUAGGGUUAAAUUGCGCGCUUACUUUUAGGCGUAUCACAUGCUGUCACUAUUUUUGUUUUUGUUUGAUGUCAAGGUUCUACAAAAGAUUUCAAGCUUAGGUUGUACGGUACUGGUUGUAUAUUCUCCCUAGAUCUGUUUUCUUGCAAAAAACUCUUAUAUGGCUCUAUGUUCUUUAUAGAUGUGUUAUUGUUGUGUACCAUAAAUGUGUGCUUGGUGCCUUUGUGGGUUAGGUCAAUUUUUUUUUUCAAGAGUAAAGUGUUCUUGUUAGUCUAUAAGCUCGUUUUUUGUUUGUAACGAAUGGUAAUAGUAAAUUCUUUUAAGAAAGGUAAAAAUCA